CAAUCCGAAGACGUGAUGCGGACCGAAUUAAGAGUAGGGAAGUGUGUGAGCCAUGCGUCAAGAAAAGCCGCUAUUGUUUUACUUAAGCCCGUACCGUAAACCGACACAGGUGGAUGAGGAGAGAAUCCUAAGGCCGACGGGAGAAGCAUUGUUAAGGAACUCGGCAAAAUGACUCCGUAACUUCGGGAGAAGGAGUGCCAGCGAGAGCUGGCCGCAGAGAAUUGGCCCAAGCAACUGUUUAGCAAAAACACAGGUCUAUGCAAAACCGUAAGGUGAAGUAUAUGGGCUGACGCCUGCCCGGUGCUGGAAGGUUAAGAGGAGAGGUUAGCGGCAACGCGAAGCUUUGAAUUUAAGCCCCAGUAAACGGCGGCCGUAACUAUAACGGUCCUAAGGUAGCGAAAUUCCUUGUCGGGUAAGUUCCGACCCGCACGAAAGGCGUAAUGAUUUGGGCACUGUCUCAACAAUGCACCCGGUGAAAUUGAAAUACCAGUGAAGAUGCUGGUUACCUGCGCCAGGACGGAAAGACCCCAUGGAGCUUUACUCCAGCUUGAUACUGGGAUUCGGUAUUGCAUGUACAGGAUAGGUGGGAGGCUAGGAAGUGAUAACGCCAGUUGUCACGGAGCCGCUGUUGGGAUACCACCCUUGCAGUAUUGGAUUUCUAACCAGCGACCAUGAACUGGUCGGGGGACAAUGUCAGGUGGGGAGUUUGACUGGGGCGGUCGCCUCCGAAAGGGUAUCGGAGGCGCUCAAAGGUUCCCUCAGAAUGGACGGAAACCAUUCGAAGAGUGCAAAGGCAGAAGGGAGCUUGACUGCGACACCGACGGGUGGAGCAGGUACGAAAGUAGGACUUAGUGAUCCGGUGGUAUAAAGUGGGAUUGCCAUCGCUCAACGGAUAAAAGCUACCCUGGGGAUAACAGGCUUAUCACUCCCAAGAGUUCACAUCGACGGAGUGGUUUGGCACCUCGAUGUCGGCUCAUCGCAUCCUGGGGCUGAAGUAGGUCCCAAGGGUUGGGCUGUUCGCCCAUUAAAGCGGUACGCGAGCUGGGUUCAGAACGUCGUGAGACAGUUCGGUCCCUAUCCGGCGUGGGCGUAGGAUAUUUGAGAGGAGCUGUCCUUAGUACGAGAGGACCGGGAUGGACUGGCCGCUGGUGUAUCUGUUGCAUACCAAAUGCAUGGCAGAGUAGCCAAGCCGGGACGGGAUAAACGCUGAAGGCAUCUAAGCGUGAAGCCCCCCUCAAGAUGAGAUAUCCCUACGUAAGUAGUAAGACCCCUUGAAGACGACGAGGUAGAUAGGUCAGAGGUGGAAGUACAGUAAUGUAUGGAGCUGACUGAUACUAAUCGGUCGAGGGCAUGACCA
rnacentral:rRNA from 1 species